rnacentral:lncRNA from 1 species
UGUAUACCAAAGGCAAAGAUAUGUUUUUGUACUACUACUAGUAAAGAUAGUAACAGUCCCAGUAGUUUCACUCACCAUACAAUUAACAUAUUUAUUGAGUGCCUACUAUUCAGUGAUCUGCAAAUUUUUUGUACCUCAAAUUUACAAAGUACUUUUACAUAAACUAUCAUUAUUAGCUUCAGAUAGUUUAGAACUAUUAGAACUCAUUGUUAUGAUAAGUUACAUCUUUGUAAUUUUACAUCUCUGCAGAAAGUUCCCCAUUACUUUGAAAUAGACUGUUCACAAAAAAUUCUAAUUUCUUUUACAAAAUUGUUUCCAGUGAAAGUUUGCAAUCUUGCCCACCUUCCUGCACAUCUUUCACCUGCUCCACCCACUGAAAUGAUUGUCUUGUGCUUGUGGGCCAGCAGAGCUUCAGAGGAGUCUGUAUCUGGAACUGCCAGGUUAUAUCAAGUCAUACGGUACCUCAUUCUCCAACCCUGAAAAUAAAUACCCUUUCAGUCUUUUCCUCAGGAGGAAAACAGGUAUACCUGGAAAAGAUUUUUGUUGUUGUUGUUACAUUUUUAUUCUGGAGGAAUUUCUGAGAUUUAGUUCAAUCCAAGGAAGAAUUUUAGUGUUGGUUUCAGACUUAAAGUGACUCUAAGGUUAAAUAGGAGGCCCCUUCUUCAGGCCUUCAUAAGAUUUUCUGCAGUGUGUUGAUCCUACAAAAGUGAGGAAAUAAGCAGGUUAUUGUUUUCUAUUUGUUAUGUUAUUUUUAUUUCACCUUUUUAAGUCACCGUCCAUACAGAAAGGCCCUCAGUGACUACAUGUGCCUUCUCAGUACUCCACUGUACUUAGGAUCCUUUUGGUUUAUGGCUGUAUUUGCUACAUUAUGUUUAUCACACCAAAGUAACAAAAUUAUUCUAGUUUUGGUUUUCCUUUUUAUAUUUUAGAUAUUAUUAUCAUUAUUUAAUUCUGCCAUCACACAACAUUGGCAUAAAUUUUGUCUUUGUUGUUAUAUUUUAAGUGCCCUACAUCUUAAGGGAAUGUUAGAAUUGUUGCCAUUUCUUAGGGCACAGCUAUAUAAUCUGUAAGUACCACAGCUACCAGCUAGCACCUAAUGACUUAUUUGAAGAAGACAGUUACCCAACUAUAAUAUGAAAGAAACUGGAUACCAGCAAGGCAUUUGUGGUUGAUUCUUCCGAAAGCAAACUCUGAGGUGGAGUUUAGUGGUAUGAUAUAAGAUAGGAAGGAAAGGGAGUGUAAAGAUUGGGCAAAGGAAAAACUUGAGCUAUGACACAAACUGACAAUACCUUGGCUUACUUUAUAGGGAGUGCUAGGGCAGAUAUGGCUUAUCAGUGUGGUAUCAAAAUGACCAGAUCUUUAUAACCUAGUCUCAAUCAUUUAUUGGAUGUGAUCCAUCCUUGUGAUCCAUCCCUAGCCUUCUAUAGCUAGGGAUGUCUCUGAAGGGACGGAUGGGUUUCUUGGUAGUUAAGAGAAUAAGUAGUUUCUUCAAAUAGAAGUCUGUGAGGACAUCUCCAUGUCAAUCCAUUGCAAUAUAUAAAGACAUAUAUUAUGGCAUCAUAAUACAUUCUGGACAAGGUGUGGGGGAAGAAGAAAUAGGAAGACUAAAACUAUGCAAAAAACAACAUAGCCAAUCUUUUAAGACCAAUCUAUGUCUUUAUCUCACAUGCUUUACAUUUUAAAUUCUUAAGUAGAUAAUGAAGAAUAAAUAUAUUGUUUAGCCUAAGAAUUGUUACCUUUAUUUCAGCCUAAUACCACUUUUUAUUAAUGUCUGAGGAAAGAGCAAUUGAAAUUAGUCUAAGAAACAUACUGUUUAUAAGAGCGACCCUUAGUUAAUUAGUCUUAGGUUUGUAUCAUAACAAUUGAUGACAUAGAUGUUAUGAGAACCCUAAAGUUAAAGCUAUAAAAAGUAAAGUAUCAAUAAUUCAAAAGUUAAAGGUGGUAGAAGUCCGGAAUUGAAAGACCAGUGAGAGAUAAAUUAUAAUAGCAGUAACAAUAAACAAAAGCUGUGACUAUUUGGCUAAUGUAAACAAUUUCAAUCCAUAUAUCCAUAUACUCUUUUGAGUAAAAUUUUAUCAAAGGACUAAGAAACACACUGCUACUUUUUUUCCUAAUCUUUUAAGGAGUGUAAUUCAGACCUGCCUCUGGAGAAAUACUUUAUGCAUUGUUUGUAUAUUUCACUAAAGCAAGUUAUAGCUUUAGUUUUUCACUUAGAACUCCUAUUGUGCACAGUGUGCCUCAUAGAAGAAAAAAGAUCUUUAUGUAUUCAGAGACAAAGCAAGAGGAUGAAAACAAGUCCUGACAGUACAGUGGACAGAAUUCUACCUUCACAAGUAUUGCAUGACCAUCCUUGCUGAAAGCAUCAAUGGAACCCAUUUUCAGACAAAAGCUCCUAUGGAGGAACAUCUCCAAAGGAGGUUUGGGAAGUUUUGCUCUUGCUUUCAGGAAGCCUACAAUUUCUUUGUGUGGUCUGAAUAAAACUAAGCCUACCUAAUUAUAUAGUCGAAUGUUUUGGUUGAAUGCUUCACUCCUUGUUCUAAUUAUUACCUAUCUCAAAGGGGAGAGCUUCGCUUUACAAACAGCAGGGAGAAUAGGGUUAACUUCCCCUGCCAAAUCUCUUCAAAGAUGAGAAAACACACAGUUGGAGUCCACACUGAAGAAAGGGGCACUCAACUGCAGUGUAUAUCAACAUAAUUUGUUGCUUUUCUUGAUAGAAAUUCUCUCUCUCGAAAAAAAACAAACACUCUUUGAGAAAAAAGGAAAAUAUGUAGUAACUAAAAUUCAGAUGCUUUAUAAGCAAGAGAUUUGAGUUAAUGAACUUGACCUACUGAAAAGAAAUUGUUAGUGAAUCUUAAAUUGGUCAGAGAUUAACUUUUUCAUGAAAAAAGUUAAAUUAUUUAUUAUAUAUCCUGAUACAAAUUAAGGCAAUGACACCUUAAUGCUUAUCACUCAUAAUAUAAUAAACACAAUAGCUUCUGUGAUUUGAGCCAAGGGCAGGCUGUACUUUUAAUUCUAAACUUUACUAAGUAAUAGCUUAAAUGCUUUCCUGCAUUGUAAUGAUCUCCAAUUCUUAAAAUAUUCAUUUGACCUCCAACAUGAUUUUUACAGAGCAGAUCUUAUGUUUUAAUUUGAUCAGGAGGAAUAGGUUUCUUAUUUGAGUAGAUUCUCCACCCCAUACUCACGUUACAUUUUUUUAAAUAUAAACCUGCAAUUUUGAAUUGGUUAAAACUAUAUUUUUUGAGAUAUUCCCUAUUGUUCUAUAAGCCAUCAUGAUCUCUCCUCUACAAUGUACUAUAACUUAAAUCUUUAUCUUUUUUGAAAAGAGCUGAUUACAUCAAUGUGCUAUUUUUUUCAUAUCUAAUUAUAUGCUACUAGUACACACUGUCUCACCCAAUAGCCUCUCUAUUCUCAAGAAUUCCACAAGUCUAGUUCUCUCAACACAACGGUCUUAUCUCACAUACUUCCAAGUUCCUGCUAAAUACAAUCAUUUUAAUGUCCUUCUACCACUGCCAAAUCACCAUAUUUGGAAUCAUUGUCAGACUUCCUCAUGUUGUUCGAUGUUGGUGAUAAUACUUACAACUUUUUCUGACUUUUAACCUUGACAUCUUGAUCGAUGCCAAAUCAUAUGUAUUUUGCUGUAAGUGACCUUGAUUGGCAAGACCACACUUCAAAGCAGAGAAAAUCAACAUAGAAAGUAGAUAAGUCUACCAGGAAGGGACAGGCAUAUGAACACAAACAAUUAAGGGUGAGAAGGAGGCCUAUGAGAUGGUAAUGUGUGGUAUCCAGAGUGUCUGAUGGCAAAAAAUAAGCCUGAAUCCAUGCAGAUAUCAGCUAAAUGUAACUGAGGUCUAGUAUGGAUAUGCCAAAGAUAAAGAUAAUACUUAGCUAUAGAGAGGCUGAUAAAAAUGCAAAGGAUGGUUCAUAGGGACUUCCUUCCAAAGAAUACAGUAUGGAAAGUGGGGGAGAGUAUUUAUUUUUGUGAGGAAACAUGACAAACACUACCUCAGCCAGUUGACAAAGGCUAACAUCAACCGUGAUAAGUCAUGUGGAUUUAAUGUACCCUUGAUAAGAAGCUUGAGGUCGUUCUCCUCAAAACUCUUAACCCUUGUCUAAUCAUGAGAAAAACAAACUCAAACCAAAGAACAUUCUACAAAAUAUAGAACCAGUACCCUUCAAAAGUACAUUCUUUCAAGGCCAUCAAAAAUAAAGAAACCCCACAUCUGGCAGGACAGCAACAGCCAUAGGGUAGCAAGGAAGUCUGCCUUACAUCCUGGAGAGGCUCUAGAUAUUGCAACACCAACCACAUCCCCUAUCAAGAAGAUAACAGCCAGCAUUAUGAGGAAACAUAUGGCUGGCAUUUGUUCCCAAACCAGACCUUGCACCAAAAAUAUCAACAACACACAUUCUACACAAGGACACUUCCCACAUAAAAACAAAAACUUCAAGGCCAGUGUAGAUAACUGUUUCUCCUAAGUAAAGAGAUAAAAAGAAAUUUAAGUGAAAUGAAAAAGUGGAGGAACCACUUCCAAUGAAAAGAACAAGAGAAAUCUUUUGGAUGAAUAAAUAGUGAAACAAAGGUCACCAGUCUAGUAAACCCCAAAUACAAAAAGGAGGUAAUAAAAAUGCUAACUGAAUUAAGAAAUAUUAUCAGCAGAUACACAGAUAAUAGUAACAAGAAGCUAGAAACUAUAAAGAUGAACAAUUCAGUUGGUGAGAUACAAAUCAAUCUAAAAGAAAUGAGUAACACACUAAAUGAAAAAGAAGAAUGAAUAAGUGAUCUGAAAGACAAAAUAAUGAAAAUCACUCAAUCAGAACAGUGGACAGAAAGACAAGUUUUUAAAAAGAGAGCAAAAUUUGAUAACUAUGGGAUAAUAUGAAAAUGCCAACCUUUGUAUUAUAGGGAUAAUAGAAGGAAAAGAGAGAGAAGGGGAUUGAAAAUAUGUUUGAAUAAAUUAUGACAGAAAACUUCCCAAAUCUUAAAAGGAAAAGAUAUCCAGGUACAGUAAUCACAGUUGAACCCAAACAGACUCACACCAAGACUUAUCAUAAUUAAAAUGACAUAAGUUAAAGAGAAGAUUCUAAAGGUAGCAAGAGAAGAACAAAGAGUCAAUUACAAGGGAACCACUGCCAUAAGCAUAUCAUCUGAUUUAUUUGCAGAAUCUUUGCUGGCCAGAAGGGAGUAGGAUUAUAUAUUUAAAAUCUUUAAAUGGAAAACCCUGCAACUUAGGAUAAUAUACCCAGCAAGAUUAUCAUUUAAAAUAAAUAAAAAGAUAAAGAAUUUCUUAAUUAAAAACUAAAGGAACUAAGCAAUACUAAACCUACCCUAAAAGAAAUGUUGAAGGGUCUUUUCUACAUUUAAAAAAAAAGAAUAUUUAGGAAAAGGAAAUUCAAUAAGAAAGAAAAAUAUGGAAAAGGAUUGAAUAUCACAUGAAUAAGCCAAGCCAGUAUAUAGAUUAAAAAUAAUUUAAAAAAUUGUAAAAAUUUAAAAUUUGUAAAAAUUUUAAAUACAAUAAACAUUAAAAUAUAAGCAUGAAGUUGUAAAAUAGGGCAUCUAAAUACAAAAUGUAAGCAAAGAGAGUAAAAAAAUUUUGAUCUUUUGAAAUGUCUUUGAAUUUGAAUACCUAUCGAUUUAAAGCAAGUAGAUAUAUCAGAGUUCCCAUCGUGGUGCAGCAGAAAUGAAUCCUACUAGGAACCAUGAGAUUGCGGGUUCAAUCCCUGGCCUCACUCAGUGGGUUAAGGAUCCGACCUUGCCGUGAGCUGUGGUGUAGGUCACAGACAUGGCUCACAUCUGGCAUUGCUGUGGCUCCAGCACAGGCCAGCAGCAACAGCUCUUAUUAGACCCCUGGCCUGGGAGCUGCCAUAUGCUGCAGGUGCAACCCUAAAGAAGACAAAAAAAUGAAUAAAUAAAGCAGGUAGAUAUAGCCAAUGGCCAACAUACUUGAACUCCAUGAUAACCACAAAUCAAAAGUACACAAUAGAUUGACAAAAAACAAAAA